rnacentral:lncRNA from 1 species
AUGAUGAAUGCAAAGGGAAAGAGGAGAGGCACCCGGUACAUGUUCUCCAGGCGUUUUGGAAAACAUGGAGUUGUUCCUCUGGCCACGUAUAUGUGAAUCUAUAAGAAAGGUGACACUGUAGACAUCAAGAGAAUGGGAACUGUUCAAAAAGGAAGCCCCGCAAGUGUCACCAUGGCAAAGCUGGAAGAGUCUACAGUGUUCCCCAGCAUGCUGUUGGCAUUGCUGUAGACAAACAAGUUAAGGGCAAGAUUCCUGCCAAGAGAAUUAAUGAGCGUAUUGAGCACAUUAAGCCCUCUAUGAGCCGAGAUAGCUUCCUGAAACGCGUGAAGGAAAAUGAUCAGAAAGAGACAGAAGCCACAGAGAAAGGUACCUGGAUUCAACUAAGCUCCAGGCUGCUCCACCCAGAGAAGCACACUUUGUGAGAACCAACGGGAAGGAGCCUGAACUGCUGGAACCUAUUCCCUAUGGAUUCAUGGCAUAA